rnacentral:rRNA from 1 species
AGGACGAACGCUGGCGGCGUGCUUAACACAUGCAAGUCGAGCGGAAAGGCCCUUCGGGGUACUCGAGCGGCGAACGGGUGAGUAACACGUGAGCAAUCUGCCCUUAGCUUCGGGAUAGCCCCGGGAAACCGGGAUUAAUACCGAAUAUGACCUCGGCCGACAUCGGCUUUGGUGGAAAGUUUUUCGGCUAGGGAUGAACUCGCGGCCUAUCAGCUUGUUGGUGGGGUAAUGGCCUACCAAGGCGACGACGGGUAGCCGGCCUGAGAGGGCGACCGGCCACACUGGGACUGAGACACGGCCCAGACUCCUACGGGAGGCAGCAGUGGGGAAUAUUGCGCAAUGGGCGAAAGCCUGACGCAGCGACGCCGCGUGGGGGAUGAAGGCCUUCGGGUUGUAAACCCCUUUCAGCAGGGACGAAGCGAGAGUGACGGUACCUGCAGAAGAAGCGCCGGCGUAACUACGUGCCAGCAGCCGC